UACGUAGGGAGCAAGCGUUGUCCGGAAUCAUUGGGCGUAAAGCGCGCGUAGGUGGUCCCGUAAGUCCGCUGUGAAAGUCAAAGGCUCAACCUUUGAAAGCCGGUGGAUACUGUGGGACUAGAGUACGGAAGAGGCGAGUGGAAUUCCUGGUGUAGCGGUGGAAUGCGCAGAUAUCAGGAGGAACACCAAUAGCGAAGGCAGCUCGCUGGGACGUUUACUGACACUGAGGCGCGAAAGCGUGGGGGAGCGAACAGG
rnacentral:rRNA from 1 species